CCUACGGGAGGCAGCAGUGAGGAAUUUUCGUCAAUGGGGGAAACCCURAUCGAGCAACGCCGCGUGGAGGACGAAGACCUUCGGGUUGUAAAUUCCUGUCGGGCGGGACGAAAKCAAUCGAGGUUAAUACCCUUUGUACUUGACGGUACCUUCCGAGGAAGCCCCGCCUAACUUCGUGCCAGCAGCCGCGGUAAUACGURGGGGGCAAGCGUUGUUCGGAAUUACUGGGCGUAAAGAGCGYGUAGGCGGUCUGWCAAGUCUUCCGUGAAAGCCCACGGCUCAACUGUGGAACAUCGGUGGAAACUGACUGACUUGAGUCCGGGAGGGGAGAGUGGAAUUCCCAGUGUAGCGGUGAAAUGCGUAGAUAUUGGGAGGAACACCGGCGGCGAAGGCGUCUCUCUGGACCGGUCCUGUCGCUGAGGCGCGAAAGCCAGGGUAGCGAACAGGCUUAGAUACCCCGGUAGUCCUGGCCGUCAACGAUGAACACCUGGAUGUGGUGGGUAUUGAYCCCUCCGUGCCGCAGCUAACGCAUUAAGUGUCCCGCCUG
rnacentral:rRNA from 1 species